GGCCAGCGACGACAUCUCCUCCACCUCCCUUCACUGCUUGGCGCGAGCCUUUGCUCGGCCGACGUCGGUUUCCUAUNCUGAAUACCUAUUGCGAUGGCAUUAUGUCGGCUAUGUUGCUCCCCUUCCCACCUUGUUCCGCUGCUCCACGUGGGCGUGCGGUGCGGGGCGGGCCAAAUCGCGCGCGUCGUGUGUCGCACCGCGUUCGCCCCUUGGGGCGUUCGGGUUGUCAACCCUCGACGUGUUGCUCGGUCUCUCGGGUACGGUGCAUCAUGUGGGUACGAGGCCAUCGGCCUCCGAGCACCACAAUCAAGCGUUGUACGCUUCGUGCGAAGGACCGUCGGUUCAAUCGUC
rnacentral:misc_RNA from 1 species